UCGGGAAUAUUGGUCAAUGGGCGGAAGCCUGAACCAGCCAUGCCGCGUGAAGGACUAAGGCCCUAUGGGUCGUAAACUUCUUUAGACGCAGAGCAAUAAGGGUCUCGUGAGAUCCGAUGAGAGUAUGCGUAGAAUAAGCAUCGGCUAACUCCGUGCCAGCAGCCGCGGUAAUACGGGGGAUGCGAGCGUUAUCCGGAUUUAUUGGGUUUAAAGGGUGCGUAGGCGGAAGUGCAAGUCAGCGGUGAAAUCCCCGCGCUCAACGCGGGAGUUGCCGUUGAUACUGUACAUCUGGAAUGCUCUUGCCGUGGGAGGACUGAGUAGUGUAGCGGUGAAAUGCAUAGAUAUUACUCAGAA
rnacentral:rRNA from 1 species